UGGGGGAGUAGAGCAACAGGGAUUGCCCCAGUAACGGCGAGUGAAGCGGCAACAGCUCAAAUUUGAAAUCUGGUCCCCAGGGCCCGAGUUGUAAUUUGUAGAGGAUGCUUUUGGCGCGGCGCCUUCCGAGUUCCCUGGAACGGGACGCCAUAGAGGGUGAGAGCCCCGUCUGGUCGGAUGCCUAGCCUCUGUAAAGCUCCUUCGACGAGUCGAGUAGUUUGGGAAUGCUGCUCAAAAUGGGAGGUAUAUGUCUUCUAAAGCUAAAUAUUGGCCAGAGACCGAUAGCGCACAAGUAGAGUGAUCGAAAGAUGAAAAGCACUUUGAAAAGAGGGUUAAAAAGUACGUGAAAUUGUUGAAAGGGAAGCGCCUAUGACCAGACUUGGGCCCGGUGAAUCAUCCAGCGUUCUCGCUGGUGCACUUUGCCGGGCACAGGCCAGCAUCAGUUUGGCGCGGGGGAUAAAGGCUCUGGGAAUGUGGCUCCCCCGGGAGUGUUAUAGCCCACUGCGCAAUACCCUGCGCCGGACUGAGGUACGCGCAUCGCAAGGAUGCUGGCGUAAUGGUCAUCAGCGACCCGUCUUGAAACACGGACCAAGGAGUCGUCUUCGUAUGCGAGUGUUCGGGUGUCAAACCCCUACGCGUAAUGAAAGUGAACGCAGGUGAGAGCUUCGGCGCAUCAUCGACCGAUCCUGAUGUUCUCGGAUGGAUUUGAGUAAGAGCAUACGGGGCCGGACCCGAAAGAAGGUGAACUAUGCCUGUAUAGGGUGAAGCCAGAGGAAACUCUGGUGGAGGCUCGCAGCGGUUCUGACGUGCGAAUCGAUCGUCAAAUAUGGGCAUGGGGGCGAAAGACUAAUCGAACCUUCUAGUAGCUGGUUCGCGC
rnacentral:rRNA from 1 species